GAUGAACGCUGGCGGCGUGCCUAAUACAUGCAAGUCGAGCGAACGGACGAGAAGCUGGCUUCUCUGAUGUUAUCGGCGGACGGGUGAGUAACACGUGGAUAAACUACCUAUAAGACUGGGAUAACUUCGGGAAACCGGAGCUAAUACCGGAUGAUAUUUUGAACUGAAUGGUUCAAAAGUGAAAGACGGUCUUGCUGUCACUUAAAGAUGGAUACGGGCUGCAUUAGCUAGUUGGUAAGGUGACGGCUUACCAAGGCAACGAUGCAUAGCCGACCUGAGAGGGUCAUCGGCCACACUGUAACUGAGACACGUUCCAGACUCCUACGGGAGGAAGCAGUAGGGAAUCUUCCGCAAUGGGCGAAAGCCUAACGGAGCAAAGUCGCGUGAGUGAUGAAGGUCUUCUGAUCGUAAAACUCUGUUAUUAGGGAAGAACAUAUGUGUUAGUACCUGUGAACAUCUUGACGGUACCUAAUCAGAAAGCCACGGCUAACUACGUG
rnacentral:rRNA from 1 species